GUCUACGGCCAUGUCACCCUGAACAAGCCUGAUCCCAUCUGAUCUUGGGAACUAAGCAGAGUCGGGCCUGGUUAGUACUUGGAUGGGGAACCACUUAGGAAGACCAGGUGCUGUAGACG
rnacentral:rRNA from 1 species